rnacentral:rRNA from 1 species
UUUCAUGCAAGUCGAACGGCAGCACAUGUGGCGAGUGCGGGACGGGUGAGGAAUACAUCGGAAUCUACUCUGUCGUGGGGGAUAACGUAGGGAAACUUACGCUAAUACCUGCAUACGACCUACGGGUGAAAGCAGGGGAUCUUCGGACCUUGCGCGAUUGAAUGAGCCGAUGUCGGAUUAGCUAGUUGGCGGGGUAAAGGCCCAUUUUCCAAAAGGGGCCCGGGAAACCGGAUCCGUAGGCUGGUCUGAGAGGAUGAUCAGCCACACUGGAACUGAGACACUGGUCCAGACUCCUACGGGAGGCAGCAGUUGGGGAAUAUUGGACAAUGGGCGCAAGCCUGAUCCAGCCAUACCUGCGUGGGUGAAGAAGGCCUUCGGGUUGUAAAGCCCUUUUGUUGGGAAAGGAAAUCCAGCC